rnacentral:rRNA from 1 species
ACGAACGCUAGCGACGUGCCUAAUAAAUGCAAGUCGAGCGAGAUGAUGGGCUUCGGCCCUGACGUCUAGCGGCGAACGGUCGCGUAACACGUAAGCAACCUGCCCCAAAGUUUGGGAUAGCCCGCCGAAAGGCGGAUUAAUACCGGAUGUGGAUGCUUUCUCGCCUGUGAGAGCAUCUAAAGCAGCAAUGCGCUUUGGGCUUGGCUUGCGGCCUAUCAGCUAGUUGGUGUGGGUAACGGCCUACCAAGGCGACGACGGGUAGCGGGUCUGAGAGGAUGGUCAGCCGGACUGGGACUGAGACACGGCCCAGACUCCUACGGGGGGCAGCAAGGAGGAAUCGUGCGCAAUGGGCGAAAGCAUGACGCAGCGACGUCGCGUGACUGAUGAAGUCUUUCGGGAUGUAAAGGUCUUUUUUGGGGGAAGAAGGAUGUGACGGUACCCCAAGAAUAAGCCCCGGCUAACUACGU